AGAGUAAAGCUUAUCAUGAGGAGUCAGCCGAGGCCAUAGUACCAGAUAUCGGCUAUGUCUGGGAAGGGC
rnacentral:ncRNA from 1 species